rnacentral:rRNA from 1 species
CACGUAGGGUGCGAGCGUUGUCCGGAAUUAUUGGGCGUAAAGAGCUCGUAGGCGGUGUGUCGCGUCGGCCGUGAAAACCUGCAGCUUAACUGUGGGCUUGCGGUCGAUACGGGCAUCACUGGAGUUCGGCAGGGGAGACUGGAAUUCCUGGUGUAGCGGUGAAAUGCGCAGAUAUCGGAAGGAACACCAGUGGCGAAAGCGGCUUCCUGGUCCAGCACCGACGUGCAGGCACGAAAGCGUGGGGAGCAAACAGG